GGGUACUUCUCUCCUUGAUGGAAACUCUUGGCUUCUCCUCUCGGCUGGUGCUCUCGGCUUCUCCUCUCGGCUGGUGCUCUCGGCUUCUCCUCACAACAGGUGGGGGGUACCUGCAAGUCGCUCCGAUGCCAAAGUCAGAAAAGGUUUAACGUUCAUCAGAUAAAAUCACUCUUACCUUUUUUCUUACUCUGAACUUCUAUUUAUAAGGUUUCCUUAAUGGGCUUUUCUCCUUUUCUGUUGGACUUUCUCUUUACACCUUUUUAUUAUUUACACACUCCUCCUGUGGGUUUUAAACUUAAUUGG
rnacentral:lncRNA from 1 species